rnacentral:lncRNA from 1 species
UACCAGCCUGAAAGGCCCAGAUUUCACAUCCUGAUGUCUGUGAGUCCUCUGGACAUAUGGCCCACAUCUGUGCUCUUCCCUGAGGCUUAACACAUGACUUCUGUCUAAAAGGUAUUUUUCUUACACAAUGGAGUACUACUCAGAGGAAAAAAACAAUGGAAUCUUGAAAUUUUCAGGAAAAUGGAUGGAUCUAGAAGAAACCAUUCUGAGCGAGGUAACCCAAUCGCAAAAAGACAAAACAUGCAGCUGGUGGAAGUAGAAGCAGACACCCAUAACUAAUCACUGAACUGAACUGGAACCCAGAUGCAGAGAAGGACCAGUGAAGAGCACAGAGGUCCAGACCUGGCUGGUGAAACACACAGAAAUAGCUGACCUGAAUAUCUGGGAACUCUUGCUCCCCAGUCUGAUAGCUGGAAUACCAGCAUGGGACUGAUCCAGACCCCAGGAACAUGGGUUUCUGUGAGGAAACCUCAGAAAUCUAUGGGACCUUCUGUAGAAGCCCAGUAUUUAUUCCUAGCAUAGGUGUGGACUUUGGGAGUCCAAUCCAUAUAGAGGAAUACUCCCUGAGCCAAGACACAUGGGGGUGGGCCUAGGCCCUAUCCCAAAGGAUACGAAAGACUCUGAUGACACCCUAUGGAAGGCCUCACCAUCCAGGGGGAGCAGAAAAG